GGUUGUUGCAUCUGGUUUGCAGGUUGACCAUUCCAGGGAGAAGAGGCCCCUUGCCCGUAUGAUGGCUGCUGCUCAAACUGUGAAUAACCCGCUUGAGGAGAAAAUCCAUUGGAUUGCUGUAAUCCAACUUCUCCAGCUUGACUAGUAGGUUGCUGGUGCAAUUGAGGAGUCAAGGGGCUACUCUGGGGAGCUGAACUGCCAGUCGGUGCAGUUGCAAUACUUGGACUACUAGUAUUGUCUGAGAACAUAUCAAUAAGGGCAAGUGCAUUUUGAUCUGAUGCAAUCGGACUUGCUGGUUGAGGAGGUCCAACAGGAACAAGGGCAAGAUCAUCGCCACUGAGGAGGUCUAUCUUGGAAUUGGCUGAGCCAUUAGCUACAGGUGGUGCUGGGAGGGCUAACUGAUUUAGAACCCCGUUACCCGAGUUUGAUGUAGCUCUGCAAAAAUUGUUGGACAUCUACAAUCAGAAGCUAUUUACUAAGGACAAAAAGCUUUUACCAAGGUCAUACGUACUCGUUCGCGUGAUUACUGCUGUCCCCAGUAUCAAUAAGAGGACCAUCAACAUCUACAACGGAUUUUCCUGUCUCAGACUUAGGCUUCUCGAUUUGAACAGAAGUUCCAGGUUUUCCAGAAGCGAUUGCUUCAAUACUGGUUAAGACCCGCUGCAAGUCAUCGUUCAACGCCAGACCUUGACAUAACAGAGACUCGUCCCUGGAUAAAAGAACGGGUGAGGUAAAGAAGAUUUACAAAGAAAAUAAUAUGUAACUGGAGAGGAGAAGAAAUCGCUCUUACGAAGUUGAGUUGAUUAGAUGUACCACUCUUUGUUUGUAUGUACGACACUGCUCCACCAGAUCGACCAUCACCUCCUGUUUAAGGUCCUAGAGAAAUCCAAAAAGAGAAGGAUCAGCAUCCUGAGAUACGUGUAAAGCAUAAAAUAUUAAAGUCCACAAUGGCAAUGUCCAAGAAAAAUCCUGAAAAUGUUGCUCUUAUUCUAGUAUAUUUUGCACUAUAGCCAACACUUGCAAACAGGGAUUUAUACUUCUCUGCAGCUAAAUCAUGCUACCUCCUUGUUUCCCGGCUCUAGUGCACUCAGCAUUUCCGCAAGCACAUCCAUGAUACCUUUUGCAUUUUGAAUCUCUGACAAACUGAAAAACAAAAGAAUUUGACAUACAAUACAAUGAACAUUGAGAAACAAUAGAAUAUAUCCUGAGCAACAACGGCAUGCAAUUACGUCCUAAACAAAGAAGCAAACAGGCGCAAAGACAAGACAAGAUUGAAACUCCAUUAAUACACAUGUGUUUUACAAAAACUAAAAAAAAAAGUUAUUUAACUGUAGUUGUUUUUUUUUGUUCAAAUCACGUCUCAACUUUGGUUUACCCUUAUAUCUAGGCUUACACGUACGGUUGUUUUCUGCUAAUACAUUUCCUUGGAACAAAAAGUAGCAAAACAUAUGUUAACAAACUUUAUCAAGUAACUCAAGGACGUCGAAAUUGGCCCAAGAAAAUACUCCUAUUAUAUGUUUCUAUUUAAAAAAAAUCAUCAACUUGAAACAGCAGAGUUGCAAUAGAAGAUAUUUACCUCAGUGUCGGAAAAUCUGGCUCUGCCGAAGGUUCAGGCAAAUCAUUAGCAGGUCCAGCAGCAUUACGAAGAUUUGGAGGGUAAGACGUCAAAGGCUGUGUUUGCGGAGGAGUGAACACAGGUGCUGAUCUCUCAGAUCUCUGAGGGAAAACAGCUCCAGCACGCUGAAAGAGAGAGGAGUCAGCAAUGGUGAUGAGGAAAGAGUAAUGGACAAAUUUCGAUUCACAAAGGAUGUAAAAGGAAUUCAGCAUCCAGAAUCAGAAAAAUAUAUCAAAUAAUUCCAGUAAACCGUACCAACAAUUCCUGGUAUCCUGCAUAGUAUUGUGGAUAUCUUGCCCUGGGGCCACCAAAGGCCUCUUGCCAUGUAUCAAUAAGGACCAGGAUCUUCUCUUUGACAUGGAAGUCCGGCUAUAUGCAUCAGUAGAUACCACCUUGAAUUAGAGAGAGAGAGAGAUAUAUAUAUAGUUGACUUUUUCCGAGAAGACCAAUUUUGAAGAACCUCUUUACCUUUUUCUUAGCUAUCCGAACCAUCUCAUGAAUAACACCCUUCUCAGCGACAUGCAUAUGAACCAUGUCACCACAGUUCUUCACUAUCGUCUCAAGCAGCUAAAACAUAACAAAUGCACGAUGAGUGAAUAUGCACUAUCAUUUCAAAACAAACAGAGAGAUAAAAUGAGGGGAACAUAAUAUUUCAGCAUGUUAGACAACUUGUAAGCCGCAAAAUCAGUCCUGGUGAGGUUUGAUAUGCUUUCUAAAGGACAUCUAUCAAUGAACAAGUAAGCUCUGCUCAUGUCAAACUCGCGCUGAUUAAGAGACGACUGAUCAUGGAUCUUUUAGACCUUUAGAAUGAGGCUAUAUGUGUAACUAAAACAAACAAGCUAUCUAAAUGCAGAGUUGAUAAAGCAAAAAUGGUUAUUUCAUCGGAAAACAAAAAAAGAAAAAGGAGACAGUUAUCUCGGGAGCUCACUCACUGUUAAGGCAAGAAGUUGAGUUUUAGGAUUCCUGCUACCAAUCCGUUUCUUAACGCCUUUCACAACAUCUUUUGCUUGCCUGCAAAACAGCAAAACCAGUUUCAGACAUCAUGUAGGAUCCGUCUGAUCUGAUAAGUAAAAACCAUUUAUGUAACCCGGCUGAAAUCUGCUUGUUCCAAUCACAAGGCAUAUAAAGGGAACAACUUGCCAGAUUUUAUAAUAAAACGAAUACAAGAAAGACUUCCUCCUCAAAACGUUGACUUUACAGAACAAAUACUAACCAAGUCCGAGUUAAAAUUUCAGAACAACAAACACCCUUAAUGCAUAGUAAAAAGAAAGAAUCUGUUUUUCUUGAAGCUUAGUCAAAAGUAAUCCAACUUCUCCAGCUUGACUAGUAGGUUGCUGGUGCAAUUGAGGAGUCAAGGGGCUACUCUGGGGAGCUGAACUGCCAGUCGGUGCAGUUGCAAUACUUGGACUACUAGUAUCGUCUGAGAA
rnacentral:lncRNA from 1 species